GUAGUUGUGGUCGAGUAGUUAAGGCGAUAGAAUUGAAAUCUAUUCAUCUUUAAGGUCGUAGCUUCGAACCCUACCAACUGCG
rnacentral:tRNA from 1 species